rnacentral:rRNA from 1 species
GUGCCAGCAGCCGCGGUAAUACGUAGGGUGCGAGCGUUAAUCGGAAUUACUGGGCGUAAAGCGUGCGCAGGCGGUUUGCUAAGAUAGGCGUGAAAUCCCCGGGCUCAACCUGGGAACUGCGUUUAUGACUGGCAGGCUAGAGUAUGGCAGAGGGGGGUGGAAUUCCACGUGUAGCAGGGAAAUGCGUAGAGAUGUGGAGGAACAACGAUGGCGAAGGCAGCCCCCUGGGCCAAUACUGACGCCCAUGGACGAAAGCGUGGGUGACAAACAGGGUUAGAUACCCUGGUUGUCCACGCCCUAA